rnacentral:lncRNA from 1 species
AUUGAACUCAGGACCUCCACAGACUGUACAACCAUGGACAUUUACUGCUAUCUUUGUGUUCAGAAGUAGAACAAAAGAGACAGGGGAAAGCACUUUGGCAAUGAUAAUGGUCACUGUAUCUUACCAUUUCCAGUCCUCAGGCCUCAAGGAUCGAUUUGUUUCCAAGACAGAACCCUCAAGACUGUGAGGGUGUCCGAAGCCUUCCUCACAUCUUUCCUGAAGACACAAGAGACUGAGAAUGUGGUGAUAUGGUGGAGAGCUAAGCUGUAUGCAUCUAGAUUAAGUGCACAGUGAAAUGGAUGUGGGAAGAGAAAUGAACAUUGACACUUCUUCCCGAGCAAACACAACAUCUUAUCUACAUUGCAG